rnacentral:rRNA from 1 species
GAAUCGCUAGUAAUCGUGGAUCAGAAUGUCACGGUGAAUACGUUCCCGGGCCUUGUACACACCGCCCGUCACACCAUGGGAGUGGACUGCACCAGAAGUGGUUAGCCUAACUUCGGAGGGCGAUCACCACGGUGUGGUUCGUGACUGGGGUGAAGUCGUAACAAGGUAGCCGUAGGGGAACCUGCGGCUGGAUCACCUCCUU